GUUCCAAUUUUGCACAUAUACUAAAAUUGGAAUGAUACAGAGAAGAUUAGCAUGGCCCCUGCACAAGGAUGACAUAAAAUUAUUGCAAAUAAUCCACGCUGAC